GAUUUUAACAACUCUGAGCUAUUAGUUAAGUUCUCCCCAAGCGAGCUCGAUGGGCCGAAUGGCCUCCUCUCGUUUGUAUAGUUCUUAUUAUGUUAGCUUUUCUUAUAUACAGUGGAGAGUAAUGGUGAUGAGUUCGAUUUUGGAAGAAAUGCGUUUUGCAUACUCAGGUCUGCCCCCCCCCCAUUUGUCAGUGCAGUCCCCUCUCAAAGUCCAUAUUCAUCCCCCUAACCCCCCAUAGACCCCAGUGCUCUCCUGUAUGGUUGGCUUUGUCUUAUCUUUUUAAUAUUUCAGUCUUGUAAUUAGGAUCUUGUGAUUUCUAUGCAUAGUGCUUAAUGCUCCUCGAUCAUUCAAAGUGUUUCUGAUUUCAAGAGUGUUUCAGUUUCAGUGAUAUGAUUCAGUGACAAAUGCAUAAUUUACCAUGAACAAUACUUAACUGUUUUUUCUGCAUUAUCAUUGCGGUAUUGGUGUCAAGGUGAUCAUUUUGGUAUCGUGACAAUACUAAUUCUGUCAGAAAAUUAGAUGUGCAGUCAUAAAUAUUUAUGGGUUUUAAUGGGGGAAAAAUAUGUUUUUUCCCCCCCAUUUUAGGCCUGCAUUCCACAGUACAAUCUAGGACACUGGAACCGUCUUGAAAGAAUAAGGAAUUACAUCAGUCACCAUGGUCUGCCACUAACUGUGGCAGGGGCUUCCUACGAUGGUGUCUCAGUCAAUGAUGUCAUCUUCAGUGGAAAGAAGGCAGCAGAGAACCUUGUGGGAAAUAUAUGAACUCUUGACUGUUGUUUUUUUUAGUUUUUACUCCAAACAGUGCUAUGGUGUGUAUGUAAGUAUGCAUUAUGGCUUUUGUGAUUUUGGAAUUGAUAUUGCCAAUUGGAAGAAAUUUAAUUUGCAUCAAUGAACAGUGUAUUUCAAUGUAUGUUGAAAUUUUAACCUUUGUAAUUUUUUAGAGUACUUUUUGUAUGCACUAUAAUCUCUUUUACUUGAAUAAAAACUAGGUUUAAUUACC